rnacentral:lncRNA from 1 species
UUUUUUUUUAAAAGAUCCAGCUUCGAAUGCUGGCCUAUAUUAAAACAUAGCAGGUAGGAACACAGUUAAAAAAGGGUCGGGGGAUACGAUCGAAAGAUCAAGGAGAAAAGGCAGAGAAAGAAAAAAAUGGAAGAGGAAAUAACAGUGUCGAUCCUUCACGGUGGUUCCCAGAAAGGGUGCUCUAAGAAUGAUGCUCCAGCUUGUCUCCAUAGCUCGACGGUUCUCGUGAUUGCGCUCUUUAUAUCUUGCAUGUGCGCCUGCUUGUGUGUGAAUGUGCAAUCGUUCCUGUGCUUCCAAAUCCCCGAUAGGAUCAGGACGAUCAUCGUCCUGGUAGCCUUGCGGUGUACUGGUUGAGCCGUUUCUAUCAUUGUGGCUAUUUUUUCGGCUGAC